UCUGACUGCAUCGCUGGAGGAGGAGGAAGAGGAUUGAGAGAUAGGACUUUAAGGGCAGAUUCUGCCAGGCAUCGCCCGGGAGCCCCGGCUGAACCCAGCUGUGUGCAGGGAGCCUCCGGCCGCCCUGGGGCUGAGUAUCCUUAGGUCACUGUUCCCAUUUGACUGGCCGAGGAAGCCAAGGCUCUGGUAAUCUGCCAGGAUCCCACAGCCUCCCUGAGCUUGAAGACCAUGGUCUCAUCAACCAAGGAAGGAAGGAAGGAAGGAAAGAAGGAAGGAAGGAAGGAAGGAAAAACUCACCCACUAUCUGCUUGUGAGCUGAUGAGGAUGUCCCUCCCAUCCCCACAGGAGGACACCCCCACAGGAGGACCCCCUCCCGGAGAGCUGACACCCCACAGAAGUGCCUUCUGUGCUGGGCGUGUCCCUGCCUCAUCCCCCUUCCCACCUCCCUGCCUCUGCCUCCGUCUCACGCACAGGGUCCCUCAAGCCCCCCCGCCCAGCCCCAAGCCUCUAGGGCAGAGGCAGGGCCUUGUUGACAGCCAAAACGCUGUCCUCUGGGGGACAAAGAGAAAGCCCCUUUCCCAACCACAGGCCUGCAGUGCUCCCGCUGUCCCUGAGCCUUGUGUCUCCUGGGCAGGCAGAUGGGUGGGCUCACGUCAGAACCACCAGGAAGCCUGUUCCAGACCAGCUUCCCAGGCCCCAGCUGAGCCCCAGGCAAUCAGAAGCUGGGGUGGCCUGGAAAUCUGCAUGUUAACUUCUCCAGGAGAGUCAGAUGUGCCCUGGGGUGGGAGAGCCACCUCCCUGUACCUACCCAUCCAUCCAUCCAUUCAUUCAUUCAUCCGCUCCGUGCUCCUCGGGACCUGGCUGACUCGUCACCCCCCUGGCUGGCACAGAACGGAGGAUGUAGGGCUCUGCUGCCCCAGCCCCUGCAGGGAAUUCUCACAACCCCUGUUCACUGCAAGGCGUAGGAGAUCACUGCACCCCAGCCCGAGGAACACUGACAUUGAUGAGCACAUCACAGGAAUGGAAAUACAAUCGUGGAAUUCCACCGUCAUGGAGCAGGAGAUCUGGGGACACUGGCCAGGCAGCCACCCCAGGCACCCUCGAUCACCAGUCCCAUGAAGCCAGAGCCCAGGUCAAGCCCUCCCCACCCAGCAGGUCUGCUGAGCUCCACGCUGUUCCAGCACAGAGACAGAAGCCCAUCAGCUGUAAGACCCACCCAGGAGGACAGUGCUGGCCGGUCGCCAUCGCGAGGCAACAGGGGAGCUCUUGGGAGAGAACUCUAUACACUCUAAAUACCUCUGAAGGAAGAAAAACCAGCCACAGCCACUGAGACCUGAGCUUUCUGUACAGAAAAGGGAGAGUCAGCCAAAAACAUCAGGAGACAGCCAUGGUGUGGGGACUGGAAGGACCGGGACCCAGACGCCAGCACUCCAGCCUGGACACCUGCUCACCGGCAUGUGCACAGAUGUGACUCGAAGUCAUGAGUGCAUGAAGAUCACACGAGGACAGAGGCUCCUCGGGCCUGCACAAACCACAGUUCCGGGCACCCCAGCUCCAGCAGGCCCGCACACUCCACCAGGGCCUGUCCCCACAUCUGCCCUGGGACAGAGGCUCUCACCCCAUGCAGCCACGCAGAGAAAGACCACCCCUGAUUCUCACCGGCAGAGGUGCCAGCAGGGCCCCGCCUCCCAGGGACAGCGAGUCACACCUGCCUACCCACAGCAGCCGCAGGAGCCUUGCUCUCUAAGAAUCGUGUUGUUGGAAGACCAGAGCCUUUGGGGGCUUAGUUAUGCUCUUAGGGUCCUAAAGCCACGUGAGGGUAACUAAGGCCACCACGGUCGCCCACUCAGACGGGGAAGGGAGGGCAAGAAUGACAUUGACGUUGGCAAACAAGGAAAAACAAGGAAGCGGGUAUCUGCCCUCUAGGAGGUCUCUGCCCUCUCAGGGGUCCCUGCUCUCAGGGGUCUCUGGCCUCUCACAGGUCUCUGCUCUCUUGGAGGUCACUGGCCUCAGAGGUCUCUGACCUCUCAAGAGUCUCUGCCCUCCUGGGGUCUCUGCCCUCUCGGGGGU